CGCCUAACACAUGCAAGUCGAACGAAGUAGCAAUACUUAGUGGCGAACGGGUGAGUAUAAUGUGGGUAUCUGCCUUUUGGUUCAGAAUAACACGGGGAAACUUGUGCUAAUACUGGAUAAGCCUUUACAGGGAAAGCUUUAGCGCCGAAAGAUGAGCCCGCACUUGAUUAGCUAGUUGGUAAGGUAAUGGCUUACCAAGGCUACGAUCAAUAGCUGAUCUGAGAGGAUGAUCAGCCACAUUGGGACUGAGACACGGCCCAAACUCCUACGGGAGGCAGCAGUGGGGAAUCUUGCACAAUGGGGGAAACCCUGAUGCAGCGAUGCCGCGUGAGUGAAGAAGGCCUUUGGGUUGUAAAGCUCUUUCGUCGGGGAAGAAAAUGACUGUACCCGAAUAAGAAGGUCCGGCUAACUUCGUGCCAGCAGCCGCGGUAAUACGAAGGGACCUAGCGUAGUUCGGAAUUACUGGGCUUAAAGAGCUCGUAGGUGGUUAGAAAAGUUGGUGGUGAAAUCCCAAGGCUUAACCUUGGAACUGCCAUCAAAACUUUUUAACUAGAGUAUGAUAGAGGAAAGUGGAAUUUCUAGUGUAGAGGUGAAAUUCGUAGAUAUUAGAAAGAACACCAAUUGCGAAGGCAACUUUCUGGAUCAUUACUGACACUGAGGAGCGAAAGCAUGGGUAGCGAAGAGGAUUAGAUACCCUCGUAGUCCAUGCUGUAAACGAUGUGUGCUAGACGUUGGAAAUUUAUUUUUCAGUGUCGCAGCAAAAGCGUUAAGCACACCGCCUGGGGAGUACG
rnacentral:rRNA from 1 species